rnacentral:lncRNA from 1 species
GGCUGGGGACCUUCGUCCCCAUAAUGUCUUGGCUGAGGACGUUGGUCUUGAGGACGAUGUGAAGGGAUACGCUGGUCAGGACCACGUCGUGGCAACAAGGCAGCAGGUAGAUAAUGACGUUGAUCUGGUGUUUUUUCUUCAGGAUCGAUAAAAUGUGGGUUGGUUUCAACAUGCUGAUAAGCCAUUCUGUAUCGAAAAUAUGGCCAGAAAUGAAGUAGAGCAAAGGGAAAUAAGAGGAGUUGAUGAUGCUAGGUAAUAUGCGAAAGAGGAUGACUUCAAGGGAACUAAUGUAGGAGGAUUCUUGUAAAGGCAAAGAAUCAAACAUAAACUGAGUAUGGGAGGCAAGUAAUCUUUCGUUAUUCCUUUUCAAGGCAUCUGCAUAUUUUCUUUCUGGUUUUUCAAUAUCAAAAGCAGUUGUAAUUUAAAGCAAGCGAUCGUCUACUUGUGAAUUCUUACAAUUCUACUUGAAGCUCAGCAAAGUGACAUACAAUGAUAUACAAUGUCCAAGUUUAGAUGGUAGAAAUAGAUUUUUAGCAAAAUAAUUUUUUGGCGAAAGGAUAAAAAGGUCCUAAAACAAAAAUUUAAUAAUCAUUUAAGUCCUUUAACAUGUUAUUGAAAUCAAUCCAGCUUAAAUCUUUUAUUUCGAAUAAGUUGAAUCCAUAAAUAUUUAUUUUCACCCAAUUAAACCCCUAAACAUCUAUUUUUACUUAAUUAAGCCCUCAAUUGGAUAGAAACAAUUAAACAUUUUUCCUCUAAUAAGGGUUUAAUUGAUAAAAAUAGAGUUUUGAGGGUUUAAUUGGUUGAAAAAAAUGAUAAAGUCUUAAAUGAUUAUUGAAUUUUAGUUCAGGGACUUUUAUUAUUAUUUUUUUAAGCUUUUGCCUUUUUUUUUUUGCCUAGAGUAAAGUACUCUUGUUGUGACAUGGUGUCAUAAUUUGCAGUUGAUCCAAAAACUUGGAAGAUGCUCCAUUGGUUGAAAACAACAAGGAAAUGUUGCAAGUUAACAAUUAUAGAUAGUUGA